rnacentral:lncRNA from 1 species
AAGCUCUCAGCCAUUGCAAGAAACAGAGGUCCUCCCUGCCUUAAGAGCUUUCCCAAGGACCUGGCUUUGUAACAUAGCGGAAGUGGUAUUAGUAGCAGAAGUGUGAGGAUAGCAGCUAUGACACAGCCACAAGAGCAAUUGCGGCCGAUGAUCCUGAAGCACCCGUUGGAUGUGAGACGGAGUGUCGCUCUGUUGCCCAGGCUGGAGUGCAAUAACGAUCCUGGCUCACUGCAACCUCCACCUCCCAGGUUCAAGUCGUUCUCCUGCCUCAGCCUCCUAAGUAGCUGGGACUAUAGGCAUGUGCCAUCAUGCCUGGUCAAUUUUUUUUUUUUUUUGUAUUUUUAG